GACGUAGGGCGCGAGCGUUUGUCCGGAUUUAUUGGGCGUAAAGAGCUCGUAGGCGGCUUGUCGCGUCGAAUGUGAAAUCUCAGGGCUCAACUCUGACAUUGCAUUCGAUACGGGCAGGCUAGAGUUCGGUAGGGGAGACUGGAAUUCCUGGUGUAGCGGUGAAAUGCGCAGAUAUCAGGAGGAACACCGAUGGCGAAGGCAGGUCUCUGGGCCGAUACUGACGUGAGGAGCGAAAGCGUGGGGAGCGAACAGG
rnacentral:rRNA from 1 species